rnacentral:lncRNA from 1 species
CCGGACCCCCGGAAAGGCUUCCACGGUGCGGAGCACGUGUCUACGUCAAGAGCUCAAGCUAACACUUGGGAGUCGCCGAUUGGGACUACCAAGUCGCCGAUUCCAGGGGGGAAUCGCCAACUCUAGGCCUCGUGGACAGCUCUGGUAGGCUGCCACUAGGCUCAUGGGGAGUCGGCGAUUGAACCUCUGGAUCGGCGAUUCCCAUACCUGAAUCGCCGACUCCCAGCCGUUACUUGAGCGGACCUUCGCCAUUAAGGCAUUCCUUAUUGGGGUACCUUAAUGGCGUGGGCCCCACUCGAAUGAAUGGGGAAACGCCCCCCAAGACCCUAUAAAAGGGGUCCUUGGGGGACCUCUACCUUCAACUCACUCUCUUGACUCACACUCCACACUAGAGCAUCCAAGGAGCCCGAAUCGCCUACUCCCACGUGAGUCGCCGAUUCCCCUCCUCUUCUGCAGGUGUUUGACGUAGAGCGCGCGUCGUGGACUCCACAGCCUCCGGCUCAUCUCGCCACCCCGCGAGCCCACUG